CAGGGUGUUUUUCGGGUGUUUUUUGACUUAUUUCAGGGUGUAUUUUGGGUGUAGUUUCCAGGUGAUUCAGGGUGUAUUUUGGGGUAUUUUCGGGUGCUUUUUGGGGCUAUUUUCGGGUGUUUCGGGGUGGCUUUUUGGGCUAUUUUAGGGUGUUCUGGGCUGUUUUUCAGGUGUUUUUUGAUGUAUUUCAGGGUGUAUUUUGGGUGUAGUUUCCAGGUGAUUCAGGGUGUAUUUUGGGGUAUUUUCAGGUGGUUUUGGGGCUAUUUUCGGGUGCUUUGGGGUGGCUUUUUGGGCUAUUUUAGGGUGUUCUGGGGUGAUUUGGGGGGUAUUUCAGGGUGUUUUUUGAUGUAUUUCAGGGUGUAUUUUGGGUGUAGUUUCCAGGUGAUUCAGGGUGUAUUUUGGGGUAUUUUCAGGUGGUUUUGGGGCUAUUUUCGGGUGCUUUGGGGUGGCUUUUUGGGCUAUUUUAGGGUGUUCUGGGGUGGUUUGGGGGUAUUUCAGGGUGUUUUUCGGGUGUUUUUUGACGUAUUUCAGGGUGUAUUUUGGGUGUAGUUUCCAGGUGAUUCAGGGUGUAUUUUGGGGUAUUUUCAGGUGGUUUUGGGGCUAUUUUCGGGUGUUUCGGGGUGGCUUUUUGGGCUAUUUUAGGGUGUUCUGGCUGUUUUUCAGGUGUUUUUUGAUGUAUUUCAGGGUGUAUUUUGGGUGUAGUUUCCAGGUGAUUCAGGGUGUAUUUUGGGGUAUUUUCAGGUGGUUUUGGGCUAUUUUCGGGUGUUUCGGGGUGGCUUUUUGGGCUAUUUUAGGGUGUUCUGGGCUGUUUUUCAGGUGUUUUUUGAUGUAUUUCAGGGUGUAUUUUGGGUGUAGUUUCCAGGUGAUUCAGGGUGUAUUUUGGGGUAUUUUCAGGUGGUUUUGGGGCUAUUUUCGGGUGCUUUGUGGUGGGUUUUGGGCUAUUUUAGGGUGUUCUGGGGUACUUCGGGGGCUAUUUUAGGGUAUUUCAGGGUGGUUUGGGGGUAUUUUAGUGUGUUUUGGGGUAUUUUAGUGUGUUUUGGGGUAUUUUAGUGUGUUUUGGGGUAUUUUCACAGAACCCCAGAAUGGACUGGGUUGGAAAAGCCCUCAAAGCUCAUCAAGCCCAACCCUUAGUCCAACUCCACCCCAUUGACUAGAUGGGGACCAUGACCAAUCUCAGGCCGGCGAGCCAUUCCAACGCCUGCAAAGAAUUGCAUUCUAAUCUCAGCCUAAAUUUCCCCUGGUAGAGUUUAAGCCCAUUACCCCCUUAUCCUAUUGCUGAUGCCUUGG